rnacentral:rRNA from 1 species
UCGGGAAUUUUGGGCAAUGGGCGAAAGCCUGACCCAGCAACGCCGCGUGAGUGAUGAAGGCCUUCGGGUCGUAAAGCUCUGUCGGAGGGAACGAAUGCUCCUGAAGUUAACAGCCUCAGGGGGUGACGGUACCCUCAAAGGAAGCACCGGCUAACUCUGUGCCAGCAGCCGCGGUAAUACAGAGGGUGCAAGCGUUAAUCGGAAUUACUGGGCGUAAAGCGUGCGCAGGCGGUUGUGUAAGUCAGAUGUGAAAUCCCCGGGCUCAACCUGGGAAUUGCAUUUGAGACUGCACGGCUAGAGUGUGUCAGAGGGGGGUAGAAUUCCACGUGUAGCAGUGAAAUGCGUAGAUAUGUGGAGGAAUACCGAUGGCGAAGGCAGCCCCCUGGGAUAACACUGACGCUCACGCACGAAAGCGUGGGGAGCAAACAGGAUUAGAUACCCCAGUAGUCCCUGAGCGGGCUGGCAAGGCGCAU